rnacentral:rRNA from 1 species
UACGAAGGGGCUAGCGUUGCUCGGAAUCACUGGGCGUAAAGGGCGCGUAGGCGGCGUUUUAAGUCGGGGUGAAAGCCUGUGGCUCAACCACAGAAUGGCCUCGAUACUGGGACGCUUGAGUAUGGUAGAGGUUGGUGGAACUGCGAGUGUAGAGGUGAAAUUCGUAGAUAUUCGCAAGAACACCGGUGGCGAAGGCGGCCAACUGGACCAUUACUGGACGCUGAGGC